rnacentral:rRNA from 1 species
UACGUAGGGUGCGAGCGUUGUCCGGAUUUAUUGGGCGUAAAGGGCUCGUAGGCGGUCUGUCGCGUCUGCUGUGAAAACCUAGGGCUUAACUCUGGGCGUGCAGUGGGUACGGGCAGGCUAGAGUGCGGUAGGGGAGACUGGAAUUCCUGGUGUAGCGGUGAAAUGCGCAGAUAUCAGGAGGAACACCGGUGGCGAAGGCGGGUCUCUGGGCCGUAACUGACGCUGAGGAGCGAAAGCAUGGGGAGCGAACAGG